AAUUGUGAUCAACGGUUUAAAUUUUUGUUACAGCAAAUAUACAAAUGUUAAUAAAAUCAUAUGAGUUUGAAGUGUCAAUAAUAAAUGUUUAUAUUAAAAUAUUAUAUAUAUAUAUAUAUGUCAAUAUCACUAAAGUUUAAUUAUAUACGAUAUAAAAUAAAUAAAAAUGAUUGUUUUGAUUUAUUUACCAAAAACAUAGGUUGUAAAUAAAUGAAAGGAUUUGAUUUUGAUUCAUGUACUUAUUUUAAUGUAUAUAAAUUUAUGUAUACAAAUUAUUUUUUAAAUAUGUGGUUUCUAAUAUUUUAUUUGAUCCUGACAAUCUCAGAAAUACAUUUUUUUCAAAACGAAAUGAUUUUUAAUAUUAGAAGCACUAAUAUAUAUAUUAUUUCAUUCAGAUUAAAUAAUUUAGUCUUGGUUUUUAUUCAUAAAAAGCUUUUAAUGAAAUAUCAUAACAUUAUUCCAAUUACUUCUUUUUGAGUUUGUUCGAAGAAUGAUAGAUUUGAUCAUUCGUCUAAUAUUUGUUUCUCUCUAAUACCCUAUCUAGCUAUUUUAACUAAAUAAUUGCUAUUACAAUAUAAAUAGAUAUAUAUAUAUAUAUAUAUAUGUAUAUUUAUUUAUUUAUUUUCAUUAAAAGAAACAUUUUAAAUAUUUAAUUAAUUUCUUAUUUAUUUAUAACAUAUAUGUACAUUUCAUUUUUUACUCAAAAAACUUUUAAAUAUUAAGUUAAUUUCGUGUUUAUUUUAAAAAUAAAUGUGUGCUUCAAUUUAACUAAAACAAACCUUUAAAAUAUCUAAUUAAUUUUGUAAUUAUAAUUAAACUCAUGUACAAUUUUGUAUUAAUAUUGCGAUAUUAAUUUAAUAUAAUUAAUACUUUUCAAUUAAAGUUUUGAUCUUUAACUAAUAAGACUUUCAGUUUAGAAUUUUGUAUCACAUGAUUGAAUAUAUGCUAUCAUUGACAAUUCAAAACAAAUAAAUUAAAUUAUUGCAUGUGAACUGUAAAAUUAUUGUCUUUUAAAAUAUUAUAUUAAACAAUUAAUAAUAUGGUAUACAUUAAUAUAUAUACAAUUAAUCAUGUUAAAAAAUAUUUAUGUGUAUAAAAAUGAAAAUAACCACCUGCACAAGAUCUAGUAAUAAAUUUUAAAAAAGAAACAAAGCUCAUAUCACUGAAACAGAAACAAGAAAAAAAAACACUAUUUUAAAGAAGUAAAAAAUGAAAUCACUUAUGGAGAGUCAAUAGUAAACAAACCGAGAGCAAAAAACCUAAUCUCUUUUCGUCAUUUUACAGUUGAUGUUGUCUAUCUGGUUUUACUGGUUUGUCUGAGCCCAAAACUUAAUUUUCUUUUGUGUAUUUGUAGUACGUUAACUUUUCGAAAAUGAUGAUACAUUUAAGAAAUAAACAUUUGUAUUCGUCAUUUUACAAUCAAUAGAUAUUGUAGUAUUGCAAAAGGUUGAAAAUCAUUUAACCAACAAAUAUUCAUAUAAAAACUCACCCCGAAUUGGUUAUAAUCUAGUUAAUAAUUAUUAUAAGAACAUAUUAUUGUAAGCUGUUAACAUAAUUUUCGUUUUCGGUGCGAGGUUAGGUGUGUCAGGGUGUUUGGUUGCGGCUGGGAGCUUCGGUUUCAGCUCAGUUGCGUUUUGCCUCCAUCAUUUUCCAGUGGUUCCACUGAAUUGGCCUCCUGGUGUUCGCUCUCCUCAAAUAAUCGCAUGAAGAUUGUGGCUGUGGUUUGGCGAUGGUUACGUUAAAGGCUGUCUCCUAGUUAUGCCUCAAUUUCAGUGUCAGAGACUGGAGCAUGCUCGCCUGUCAUCAGUCAUCACCAUUUUUUUCGGAUUCAGAUUCUAAAGCAUGUUCCAGUCUCCCGAUCUAUCAACAUUAUAAACAACACUAUUACCCUUAAGAGAUCAAGUGGAAUGAAUGGAAACGGAUUGUCAAUGCCCCAAAUUAAAUUUUGGAGAAUUCUGCCACCUAUGAAUCGUUGCCAUAGAAAAUAAAAUGCUUGUUGAUUGAUAUUGGUCAAAAUAUUCAUAUUCCGUCAAUAUAUAACGCGUCAUAAAAAGAUUGCCAAUGCAAAAACAAUGAGGAAUCUCAUACUAGUUUUGAUUAAACACUGACAUGAUUAUUGUAGAUUUAAAGUAAAUAUGGGUUAAGAGAAACCAAAUAAAAUGAUUGU